rnacentral:rRNA from 1 species
GACGAACGCUGGCGGCGUGCUUAACACAUGCAAGUCGAACGGAAAGGCCCUGCUUUUGUGGGGUGCUCGAGUGGCGAACGGGUGAGUAACACGUGAGUAACCUGCCCUUGACUUUGGGAUAACUUCAGGAAACUGGGGCUAAUACCGGAUAGGAGCUCCUGCUGCAUGGUGGGGGUUGGAAAGUUUCGGCGGUUGGGGAUGGACUCGCGGCUUAUCAGCUUGUUGGUGGGGUAGUGGCUUACCAAGGCUUUGACGGGUAGCCGGCCUGAGAGGGUGACCGGCCACAUUGGGACUGAGAUACGGCCCAGACUCCUACGGGAGGCAGGAGUGGGGAAUAAUGCACAAUGGGCGGAAGCCUGAUGCAGCAACGCCGCGUGCGGGAUGACGGCCUUCGGGUUGUAAACCGCUUUCGCCUGUGACGAAGCGUGAGUGACGGUAAUGGGUAAAGAAGCACCGGCUAACUAUGUG